GCGUAAUAGCUCACUGGUCGAGUCGGCCUGCGCGGAAGAUGUAACGGGGCUAAACCAUGCACCGAAGCUGCGGCAGCGACACUAUGUGUUGUUGGGUAGGGGAGCGUUCUGUAAGCCUGCGAAGGUGACCUGUGAGGGUUGCUGGAGGUAUCAGAAGUGCGAAUGCUGACAUAAGUAACGAUAAAGCGGGUGAAAAGCCCGCUCGCCGGAAGACCAAGGGUUCCUGUCCAACGUUAAUCGGGGCAGGGUGAGUCGACCCCUAAGGCGAGGCCGAAAGGCGUAGUCGAUGGGAAACAGGUUAAUAUUCCUGUACUUGGUGUUACUGCGAAGGGGGGACGGAGAAGGCUAUGUUAGCCGGGCGACGGUUGUCCCGGUUUAAGCAUGUAGGCUGGUUAUCCAGGCAAAUCCGGAUAAUCAAGGCUGAGGUGUGAUGACGAGGCACUACGGUGCUGAAGUAACAAAUGCCCUGCUUCCAGGAAAAGCCUCUAAGCAUCAGGUAACAUCAAAUCGUACCCCAAACCGACACAGGUGGUCAGGUAGAGAAUACCAAGGCGCUUGAGAGAACUCGGGUGAAGGAACUAGGCAAAAUGGUGCCGUAACUUCGGGAGAAGGCACGCUGGUGUGUAGGUGAAGUCCCUGCGGAUGGAGCUGAGACCAG
rnacentral:rRNA from 1 species